rnacentral:rRNA from 1 species
UUACCUACGGGACGCAGCAGUGAGGAAUAUUGGUCAAUGGGCGGGAGCCUGAACCAGCCAAGUCGCGUGAGGGAAGACGGUCCUAUGGAUUGUAAACCUCUUUUGUCGGGGAGCAAAGAGACCACGUGUGGUCAAAAGCGAGAGUACCCGAAGAAAAAGCAUCGGCUAACUCCGUGCCAGCAGCCGCGGUAAUACGGAGGAUGCGAGCGUUAUCCGGAUUUAUUGGGUUUAAAGGGUGCGCAGGCGGAAGAUCAAGUCAGCGGUAAAAUUGAGAGGCUCAACCUCUUCGAGCCGUUGAAACUGGU